rnacentral:misc_RNA from 1 species
GUGAAGAACGCAGUGAAAUGCGAUAAGUAAUGUGAAUUGCAGAAUUCAGUAAAUCAUCGAAUCUUUGAACGCACAUUGCGCCCGCUAGUAUUCUGGCGGGCAUGCCUGUCCGAGCGUCAUUUCAACCCUCAAGCCCCCGGGCUUGGUGUUGGGGAUCGGCGAGCCUCCGCGCCCGCCGUCCCCUAAAUCUAGUGGCGGUCUCGCUGUAGCUUCCUCUGCGUAGUAGCACACCUCGCACUGGGAAACAGCGCGGCCACGCCGUUAAACCCCCAACUUCUGAACGUUUGACCUCGGAUCAGGUAGGAAUACCCGCUGAACUUAAGCAUAUCAAUAAGCGGAGGA